GAAAUGCGAUAAGUAAUGUGAAUUGCAGAAUUCAGUGAAUCAUCGAUCUUUGAACGCAACUGGCGCCCCCUGGUAUUCCGGGGGGCAUGCCCGUUUGAGUGUCAUUAUUAUUCUGCCCUGCAGGUUUUGCCGAGAGGCCAAAUGCAUGUUGAUGAUAGAUAUAUUUCAAUAUCACCCGCACCAAGACCUCAAACCGGUAGGAGUACCCGCCGAACUUAA
rnacentral:misc_RNA from 1 species